UCUUCCAUGUGUUCUUGUGUUAUUAGUGACAAGAAAUAAGAAACAAAAGAACAUCCUCUCACCUCAAAGUUUAAGAUACUUCUGAGUGCUUCCAUGAAGCUCAACUGGACAAACUUUUUACCUUGGCUCUUGGUUGCAUUGCAUGUUUUCUGCAGAAUUUCAUUUGUUAGGAACCAGAGUAUGCUGGACAAAAGCAAAAAUGGACUCUUAAACUCUGCUGUUUUAUACAAACACUCUUGCUGUCCUAAACUUUAUACCUGAUACCUUUAAGGCUACACUGAACAUCAUCUCAGGUUGUAAAUGGUUCGAGGCUGGAUAAGUAAUGUUCAAGGUGGCAUAUGGAAACUGGUUUUCUUUCUCUGUCCUUUAUACCUUGAGGCAGUGAGAAAUGUUGGUGCAUGUCAUGGACUGCCAUGAGCUAUCAUUUCAUGCUGCAUCCUGGAUGGGGUCAUGAGUUUUGGUGUAAGUUGAGGGGAAUUUAAUUAACCAGAGCCUUUACCAAACAACACAGUGAUUUUACUUGCACAAUAUUUGCUUGUUUUGUGCAAGAAAUAAGUCAAUUUAUAGAUACAAUAUCUUGAAUCAUGCCCCAUAUUUCUAUUACAAAACUGUAAGCAAAUACUGUGAAAAUUCUUGUAACCAGGAGGUUUAUUUUUUUUUUGUAUGUAACUUUUAGAAUCAAGGGUUUAGAAAAGGAUAUUUUUACUCUUGAACAGCUUCUGAAUUUAUUCUUGUAGUUAAUUUGGUUUUUUACUCAUAAAGUGUAGCUUUUCUAUGUGUGCUAAUGCUGAAUAUUGAAGACUAUAAUUAUGAAAGCCAACGUAUAUUGAUAUAUAGCCAUCUAUCAAAAUUGUUAGUGUUCUAUAAUGUAUUUUUUUGAGCACAGUCUAUUACUUGACAAUUUUUGUGAAGCAUUGCCAUUAUUUCUUCUGUAUGCUCUCAUCAUUUUUGAAAGCCUGAAAAUGAUUUCUUCAUUAAAAUAAUCUGCUUCUCUAAAACAAACCCCCCAAAACCCAGCCUGAACUGAGACAAAACACUUCUUAAUCCUUUAUUUUAUGCUACUCAAAAACAUCUACCAAAUAGAUUGCUUUCCAUCUUAUCUACAGCACGUAUUUGACAUUCCUCUGCUUGUGCUCGUUACCGGAUGCUUUGGCCCACUUGUGAUCUCACUUGAUGUAUAUUGGCAUUAUGAGCUCUCUGUAACUUAGUUGGAUGAUGUUAGGUAAGGCAUAAUGCAGAAAAUAAAUCAUACCUUCAGUUAAGUUUUUUUGACAGUUUUGAUCUUAAUUGUUUUGUGAACAAAGGUUAGUUUGUUCUUGUUUGUGUCUCCCACUUCUCUUUUUUUUAUGGUAAAUACAUGCAUUUUGCACCACUGUAUGUUUUUAAUUGUGCCAUGAAGAUCAUGGUCACAGCUGAUUCCACUUGUAGGGAGCAAGUAGAGCAUAUGGCAGAGAUUAUCAAUGUUGAACUCCUAUUUGAGCCACAAGGUCAGAAAUUUCAUGUAAAGAUCAGGUUGGUAGGUUGUUACAAUGACAAACAGUGGGGCUGAAAAUCACAGGAGUCACUUUCUGCAAAACACUGGAGUUGCUUUUAGAUUACGCUUUCCUGGUUUUGUGUCGCAUUCAAAACAUGCAGGUUUAGGUGGACACACUUGUUCAUGAUUGUGCUGUUGGAAAGAUGAGCAGAUUUUGUGGUAUAUUUUUUCCUGAAAGUCCUGCAAGGAUAAAUUAAUCUUGAGUAAUUAGGUAGUAUGUCAUAUCUAGUUCAAGACUCUUUAUGAAUGUAGAGGGUUUUUCUAAUAAGUUGUUGAUAAUUUUAAUAAAUAUGGAAAUAGUUGUUUAAAAACUGUCUGUUUCUUAAGCUAGCUAAGCAGAUAUAAGGAAACAUUCUUUUGAGUUUGUUUUUAUUUAGUAAAUUUAAUUUUUGCAAUGUCUUGUAGAGCUUACUCUUCCUCACUGCAACCAUAUGUUAGUUUGUUUCACAGUAGAAACAGUCCUGCUGAGGUCAUGUAAAAUAUUAGUGACAAGAGCUUCAGUAGACUCAUAACCUUUUAAUUUUAUGUUCUUCUUUAAGAUGACUCAGAUUUGCUACUGUGCAAUAUAUACACAGUGCUGAAGAAAUAAGCAUUGACUAGUUAUUUCUUUCAGUUUGUAUCAGAAAAAUGAUACAUAGGUGAGUGCUCCCUACUGCAGGAAUUUUAUAUUUCUUUUAAUUUUGUUGUGUGUCUGAGAGGGACAGAGCACAGUGCUCAACAAAUUUUUCAGAAGUCGUUUCAGUACUAAUUAAUUAAUUAAAAACCCCAGCACUGUAAUAUUUUAGUUUUUAACUCAAUACAGCUUUAUGGAGAAUUCAAAUCUUAUAGAAUAUGGUCUGUUGCCCAUUUGUAAGACAUCCAACAUGUCUGCUGCAUGAGUAAAAUUAGAAGCAUACUUAGUUAUUAUAUUUUGUAUAAAGCUGCAGUACAAGAGAAGAAAUGGGCUUUACAGACUUUGAUUUAUCAAAGAAUCUUGAAUUCCUUUGUACUUAAGCGGGGAAUUGAAUGGGACACCAUUGAUUCUCUUCCAUGCUCAAAUUUCAGUGCCUGUAGACUAUCUUGCAUUUUUCUGCCAAUUUUAUUUACCAUUAUGCAGGUACUCAAUGGAGGUUGUGAUUACCAUUUUGCAGCUCAGGUAUUCAUGGUUUUUUGAAUUAAAAAUACCUCUUAAAAUUACUGAAUACUCAGUGAAGGAUACUUCUGUAGUCCCAUACAAUCUUUUUUCCCCCAUUGUAAUAAACACUCUUCCAUGUAAUUAAAAUAUUAUUUUUAUUAUAGAUAUGCUUGUUCUGACUUUGAGUCUUCUCAGCUUGGUUUACUCCAGAAGUGGUUUAACACAAGUAAAAUAAUCCCAUCAAAUUGCCUCAAGCUAAUCCCACUCUUAAAGCAGAAACACCCAUUUUAAGAAUUUUAUUUGUAUAACACUAUUGGCUUGACUGAUGAACCUUCUCACUGUGGGUUAGGCUUUGUGCUGUGCUGCAUUAGUUAAUGUGAGAACAGCUUUGCACCUUUGGCUUGAGGAGAAUUUGCACACAACAUCCAUACCCCAUUAGCUUGCUGUUCUCCAAAUGCUUCCUUUGCUCUCUGGGUAAGUAAGGGCUCGAGCAUCUGCAGAACAUCUGUCUCAGAGAUCCCAACAGGAGUGUGGAUGUGCCCUGCUCUCAGAGGUGGGGUCCAUACAAAGGUGAAGGAUUCCUGUGUUUCUCAGUUCUUUUAAUCUAGUUAGGGGCGCUUUUAUUUCCUUGAGACCAGUAUUACUGGGAUCUUUCCUUCUCAAUUCCCCACACAGUUAGAAGUCCAGAGAAAGAAUGCUGGCUGUCAGUGUGUACAUUGUAUGUAGAAUGGGAUGCAGUUGGAAUCUUGCAGAUUCUUCUGUGUGGAGUUUGUCAGUAGGAAGACCUAGGGCAGUGGACAUGACGUAACAGAACAUGCCAAAUAUUAACCCCAUUCUGAAGAAGGCAACUCUAUUGCUGUCUGAGCUUGAUAGGCAUUUGCUUAAACCCAGUUUGUGUGUGUGCAUGUGACAGGCCAAAUUCGUUCAAAUAUACCAAAUAAUACUUGCAGUAUAGAGGUUUUCUUGUCCUCUUUAUGUAGUGAUUUUAGAAAGGCUUAAUUUUUAAAUGAUGUGAAACAUUCCUAUAGCCAUUUAUCAGAAAUGUGUGCUUAUAUAUAUUGGAACAAAUUUCAUGUUUAAGAGCUGCUAGCUGAGACACUGUGUAGCAGAUGCUCUACUGAGGCAUUUCUUCAACAGGUACUUCUAUAAAGUCUACAAACCAUUCAUUUGUUUCAAUUUAGACAUGCCCUCUUACAGUUUAUUAAGUGAUGAUGGGGUCUAUAGCUGCAGAUACUUGGUGACCUAUUAGAUCAAUUUCUGCAUCAGCAUUAAAAGAUGAUGACAGAGUAAAUGUGUCUGUAUGACCUGCAGUACCUCAACUCUAUCCACGUUUGGUGAUGGUGAAGUAAAAGGAGUUCUGAGACAGUUUUUGCACUAGAAGAGCAGUAGGGCCUCCAGAGGUCUUAUCCAAAGAAACAUUGCUGGUUUUGUGCUGGGUUUUUUUGUUUGGUUUCCAGCUUUUGGUUCCCGUGACAUUAUACUGGCACAUAAAGUUUGUGUCAAAGCCCAUUUGCUACAUAACAUGCUACAAAUAAUUAUCUGUUGUUUUAAUAUCUUAGGUUUAUAAGUCUAUGUUUAGUUGUGUAUUUUUUCAUUAAGGCAGAUGUUUCAUAAACAUGCCUUCUGGCAGUUAGUGGGAGAUAUAUUUUCUUUUUAAGUUUCUGAAGGCAGAUAUUGCGUUAGUCUGAGUCUUUGUUUAGUUGACAGAGCUGAUUAAUUUCUGUUGGAAAAGUGUUCAUAACUUUUCAUUUCUGCUGGCAUCAAUUUGCAGAAAUUCAGCAAGCUGUUUGAAUUGACUUUGGUUCAUGCUACGCAGUUUUUCUGUCUCCAUCCCCCUCAAAACUGUUAUAAAGUAACAAAAUGAGGACAUGAAAGGGAUACUGUUGUGCAUUUUCUCCUUUUAACUAAUUAGUUGGGAGUUUUUGUGUGGGAGAUAAAUUCAUGGAUGACCUUUCUGUUUAGUUAGGUGGCCUUAAGUAUGCUGGUAAGUUUGUAGAGUAAACAGAAGUGAUGUGUAAAGCAGAAAGUGCUGCUCUUUGUCUGCAGCCAGCUGCUCCAAGUCGCUCUCUGUGGAAGGGCCAAAUGAAGUCAUGACUUUGUUUCCUAAUGCUCUUACUUGAAGAGCCUGGGGAGCUGGAGUGCAGUACUGGGCUGGUGCCCACAGUUUCAUUAACUUUUUUUUCCCCCCAUUUAAAUCCAGGUCUCUGUUUCAAAGAUGGUUGAAGGGAUUUAUGGAUUUUCUUGAUUAUUUACUUUCAUAAACUAUGUAAGAAUAAUACAAAAGGUCACCUGGCACAAAGCUGCUUACGACUCAAGAGAAAGGAACCUUUUAUUAUUAGAACCAUUGAUUGGGCAACAAGUGCCAAUUUAAUGUAUUUAUUGUCUUGGAAACUCACUUUUGCCUCUGCUUUGGAUUUCAGGAAAAUGAAUUAACCUGUGACAGUAUUUUCAAGCUUGGAUACUUUUAUUCCUUAAAAUAACAGAACACCCUCUUCUGCUCUUUUGUCAAGCAUGAAUGUAGGUAGUGGAGAACUGUGUGCACAACUAACUUUUCAUCAGUGUUUCUGAGGUUAUCUUACAUUUGAUUAGCCAGAAUUAAAAAAACCCAAAAAUUCACCAUUAGGCAGCUUUUUAAUUGAUAUAAUCAACUUGUCUCUUAACUGGUAUUUUAGACAUGCUCUGAAAACCUUCUAGGAAUGUAUUUAUGACAUGUGGUGUAGCAUAAGCUGACCAGUUCUCUGUUAUUUGAGAGGCAAAUUUUUUCCCCCUUUUUUUAGUGUGUAGUCUUUUAGAAAUGCAUUAAAACACAUUGAAAUGGUAUUUAAUUUUCAUCUUCUAAACUUGAUGUAAAAUGUUAGUGUCUUCAUGUUGCAUGUUUUUGACUUGUCGUGAAGAAUUUCUAUUGAUGGCAGGAUUGUUCAACUUCACAAUCUUUCUGACAUAAAGGGUGCAAUAAAGUAGCAUUACUUGGUAAGGGGUGAUUAUUGCUAUGUAAUAUGAUCCAGAUGACUAUGCCAUCAUUUAUAUAUAUUGAAAGGAAAGGAGUAGGUAUUUGUUUAUUUCUUUGGUUUGUCUUCUGCUGCAUCAUAAUUUGUUUGUGCUGAUUAUAGUCAAUUUGUGCAUUACCUAACUUGGCAGGAUAUAAUGGGUCAUUUGGAUUACUGACAACAAUGAAAAGGAGCACUUUGAACAGAAGCAUUCUGUAAAAUGCCCUGAUUCUGUUAGUGUGGAUAAAUAUCUGUUACUACUUUAAAGGGGUGGGGGUUCCAGUGGACUGGCUGUCUUUAGGAAUGUGUUUGUUACAAAGAGUGGAUUAUUUUCUCUAAUAGUAAAUGCCAGUCUUGAUUAGCCCGUGGUCUGGUUCUUUCUACUUAGUUACAGCACUUUUCCAAGCUGAGAAUGCUGAGAUCCAUGUUGGUUUCAACCCAAACUGGUUACUAAGAGCACCAUAGACAUUUUAAAGGGCAGUUUAGGAACUGUACUUGGCCGUGGUGUGCUACCUGCAAAGCUGCACAGCAGGCAUUCUGUAACAGGCACUUAAUUGUGGCUGGGGGACUGCCAUCUCAGCACCUUGGGGCUCACUCAUUGUGCCUUCAUAGUCUGAGAAAGCACUGGAGGGAGAAGAGCAUGGAAAGAAAAAUGCUGUUUUUUUGUUAGUGGUGGUUUUGUUUGUUUGCUUUUCUAAAAUCUGUCAUAUGAACUACUAAUGGCAAAAGUUAGUUUAUUCCAGAGUGCAGCUCUGGAGGUUAAACAAACUUUAAUGUUGAUCAUCAGCAUUUACAGUGGUAAAGUGGUUACCUGGCAGAAACAGAUACUGAUAUUCAACAUCAGAGACUAAAAGAACACUUACCCAAAGCUGGUGAAUCACUUAAAUUAUAUGGAAAAUACCUACUUAUUUAUAUAUUCAAAGGAAAUAAUUGUGUUUGCUAUCUAAAGUGCAGUUCAUUUUGAUUCCCCUCUGCCUCAACUUUGCUUCAAAAAUUAUUUAGAAAAAAAAAAAAGAAAUGAAAGGAAAAAAGUUGAGUGGUCAAGCAGUUACUGUUACUGAAUUAAAACCUUAUGAUGGAGCUCUGUAAUUCCUGUAUUUCCUCUGAACUCUUGAAUGUUUUUUCAGCCCUUUUAGCUAACAUAAAGCACAUGAAUACCGAAGAUACUCAUUUCAUACAGCAAAUUUGAUUGAAUCUCCUAAAAUUCUGAUAAACUCCAGAUUUAUACAGGAUCAAGGUAUAAAUGCUGUGAUAAUUGCAGUGUGUAGAUCAGACAGAAUCAGAGAAUGGAGAAAUGUGUAACCUUGGCCUUUCCAUGUGCAACUUGGAUGGCAUGCCUUUGUUUGGAAGUUAUAUACAGCCAUUGUGAAAUUGUUUUCUGCUUGUUGAAAUGUCAGUCAUCAAACCUUUGCAGUGUGGGAUUUAAUUUUCGUAAUGACUGAAAUUCAGGAUGGAAUUUCAAGGAUGGAAUUCCUUUUCAUCAGGGUGUUCUGGAGGAAUUCCUCAAGCCAUUCAUCUUUGUAAAGUAAACAGGCAUAAUGUGUGAAGUUAAGCUGAAAGUCCUGCUGUUUGUCCUGCAGCCAGUUGUCCAAUUGCUUGACACAUAAGGGCUAAAUGAAGCAUGUGUGUCUUCCAAGCUGCUUUUUUUUUGUUUCUGGUUUAUUAUUUGAGCCUCUUUCACUCUUAUUGAUAAGCAAAUCAAAGACAGGAAUUGUCCAAAUUAUUAAUAUAGCUAAUAAGUAUUUUUUUCUUAAUUACAGGUGGUGAUGGGAAUUCAUGAGUUGGUGUAUAUCCAAUGUAUAAGAUUGGGUCUUUUGGGUAUUCCUUUCAUUAUUUGCAAUUCACAACUUCCUGUACAGAGGCAAUGCAGUCCUUACCUUUUCCUUAACAAUCAGUUAUAAACAAUUCAGCACAAGGAGCUCAGAAAGGGAAGUCUCUGUUCCCGCUGCCUCUUAACUGCUGAGAGCUGGUCCCCUGCAGGCAAGCUGCCGCUGGCCAGCUGUGAGUGUGAAUGCAAGGGCUUCUGGCCCUUGCUCUGACCUCAGCAGCAGCUGCCUCUGGUACCUGCUGGGGAAGGAGCUCUCCUGUUUUCACAAGGACAAGCACUCUUGGUCCCCGGUGAGAACUGGCUUCAAUUCCCCUUUCUCAGCCCGACAGUAGCUGUUAAUCAGUAUAUUAGCCUUGUGAGAGGUAAACAAAACAUUUGAUUCUGGUUUCCUUGUCAGGCAACGACAUCUUCAUUUGGAGAUACUUUGCAGAAAGCGAGCAACCCCUGCCUCCCAAGCUUGGAUGUUGCUGACAUUUGGUAUAAGACUGUGCAUAGGUAGAACAGCACUCCUUUUGGAGUUAGAGAUCUUUUCUCACAUUUAGUAGAGCAGAGACUGCUUUUCCCUUUCCUUUAUUCUUCACCAAAUGUUUUAUCAUCUUUCACUUUUUAAGUUUUGUAUUGUUGUGCUUUCUCCCUCACAUCUUAAACAUUUGGCCAUAAGUGGUAGGUGGGUUUGGGCACCUAAGGAGCAUAAGAUAUAGGCAAAAUAGCUGGCUUGAUGGAAUCUUGACUCUAAAGGAGUGAAGGUAAAGCAGAAGGGUGAAGAAAGAAGAGUGGGAGAGAUGGAGUGUAUGAAUACAUGUGCAAAGAAGUGAAAGAAGGGUGACUGCAGAGUCUUUUGUUUCUGCCCAUAAUUUCAUGACAUUUUAAAACAAAAUAUUUCCCUAAUCUUUGGGAUUCUAGAGAAAUAGCUUGGAAGUAAGAAUCUCAAAGGCUUCAGAAAGAGAAGGGUGAACAGACAUUGUCACCUUAAAUGUGUAGGAGCUGAGAAAUUUGGAACUAAUCUAAUGUUUUGGGAAAGGUGCUGACACAUGAUUUUUGUGAAGAUUGCUGUUGGCAAUAUUAUAAUGUGCAAAACUUGGAAGAACAUAGCUAGCAAAUACAUACUAGUGAGGAUAUCACUCAUUGAUUUAAGUACAUAUAGAGGCUUCAUAAUCUAGUACAAAAUAGUUUAAAAAUAGUGUAAACAGUAGAUUAAUGUGUUAACAUUAUGUUAGGUCUUUGUUUUCUAGUUUGCUUUUUCCUGAAUAUUUAGAAGAAACGUUUUGAAGAUAAUUGGGAAAAAACCAAACAACAAAACUUUAAAAAGUAGAACAUAGUUACAUUCAGGGUGACCUCAACACUAAUUUUCAUUUUUUUACUAAUGUCUAUAUGUCUUUAUGCUUUUUAAAGAUGCCUUACUCUUCUAUUGCUUAAAAUACUUCAUUAAAAAAAAAAAAAAAAAGGCAAGCCGAGUUCCUGCUUAGGUUGUAAAGGGUCAGUUUUCAUAGCUGUCUGACCUUUUUGGACUACACCAAGAUAGUGUAUGUGAGAUGUAGGGGGGUUUUGUGCCUGAAGUGAUAAAACUGUUUUGCACAGCUUGCCUUAAUAAGGAGCAGAUUGGCUAGUAACAUCAGGAGGCACUCCUAUCUGAAAAAAAACAAUAAAAUGCUCUUAUGGAGUACAGUUGUCUUUCCUGUCCUCUUGAUUAUUGCCCAAUAUAUUUUAAAUCAUGUGUUGAAGCAUUCUCUUCUCCUACUCCCUUGACUGUAGCUAAAACAUCAUCACAUUUCAUCAUAAAAAACCUAUGUAAUAAAAAGUAAUUUGGCCUCGGGGAUUUUCUUUUCUGGCCUUACCUGUUGACUCAAAGUGAAUGCUGCACAUUCUGCAGAGGGGUAGUUUAUAGGCUUCAUUUGUAACAUUUAGGAGGUUUUGUUUGUUUGUUUUCCCCCAGCCCAGUGAAUGCUGAAGCCAUUUUUACAAUAUUUGCACAUGAGUGACUUUAGGGAUGCUGCUCAUUCUCUGAGGCUUCUCAGGAACAUUCAAGUGUUCCAAGUAUCGUCUUUGCAGAAUGGAGACUGAUCCCUUCUGAGCUGCCAAGUGCAGAGUAGCCAUGUGUUCUCAGCUGCAAGAAGGCUCCAGGCAAAAAAUAUUUGCCUUAAUUAAAUCCCAAGCUUCUCAGAGGUUAUUUAAAAAACAAAUCACAACUUUCCUGAAAAUCUAAUAAUUGUUGGGAUGAACUGAAAUAAUGCAGUGCUCUCAUAGGAAAUGGUGAAUAGACAUUCCAGCUAUGCCAAGACAACUUAAUAGAAAUUUUCUUCAUUUUAUAGAGAUUGCUGCUUUUAGAAAUACGUGAAGCUGCAGAGUUGGCAUAUGUGCCUGUUACCUCUUUAAAAAGUGAGCAUUUACCAACUAGUAAUGGCAUAUGGGGUGUUUCCAAACCUCAUAGUUCCAGAGUAAGUUUUGAUAAACAUCCAGUAGGGUGGAAAAAAGCUUACAGAAACAACAAAAUAAGACCCAAUCACGUGCAUCUGAACUGUGUGGGUAAAUGUGGCUGCUGAUUGCUUUUAUUCAUAAAAAUGCACUCUAGCCUUCAGGAUAUGUUUGCUUCUGCUUCAUACAGGCAUAUUAUAAAACAAGCUAUUCCAUAAAAUGUUAGUAUUAAAAAGAAAGGAAAAUUAGGUUUUCUGCAUUGCAACCUCAUCUAUAAAACAGUGUUUUCACUGAAUCUCUAGCUCAUAUUUUAAUUAUUCAAGCGUGAAUAGAGAGAGAACUUAAAAAUGGGAGGAGAUGAGGUCUGGAAGACAGUAAUAAAAGCACAUCCCUUUGUUUAGUGUUGCUGGGUGGUUUUUUUUUUUCGAUGUCUGGGAUAAAGUGGUAUAUUUCGUGAUGGAACUAAUGCAUUAAAAUUCUGAUGCAAAAGUAAGGAAAUACUUCUACAAUCAGAACUAAACGGUUUGGUUUUUUUAACUUGCCCCAGCUCCACUACUUUUGAACUUAAAUCAGAAAAGUGCUUUAAGAGGAAAUCAGUAUUUUCAUAUCUCAUGUGUUAAAAAAGAGAGAUCAGAAUAGCAAUUUUCAAAUGUAAAGAAAGAGCAAAUGAAUCAAUAAUAACCCUAAGUCAUCUGAUCUUGUAUCUAGUCUAGUUGAACAAAUGUUUUAGCCUUUGUAAACAAACACAUCAAUUUAUAUAUAAUAUAAUAAACUUCUAUUUCAUUGAGAACUAAAAUGUAAUGAUAUAUUGUUGUGAGUCAUCUGUGUUAGCAGAGUUAGGAAGCAGGUAAUGUACCAUAGAUGCUAUUCUGCUUUACAUUGUUUUCUCCUGAGAAUUGUUCAGUGAGCAAGCUUCCUUCCUUGCAAUUCUUUCAAUACAAUAUCCAAAUUUAGCGAAAAAGAAAAGGUUGGUAAAUGUUGUCUCUUGGUGACACAAAUAUUAAAUAUCCUUUAAUCCUUGCAUAGAAGUUUAUACCUGGUUAGAGAAGAAGUUACACUCUGAGGGCUUUACUUAUGACUGUGUGCAUUGAAAAACCUACAACAAUUACUGCAAUCUCUCUUUGUAAGUACAAAACAAUUCUGUUUGCUGCUAAAAGCUGUUUGGCUUUUUGGGCCAGUGUCACAGUGCCUGGAGAAGGCCGAUGAGGAAGCUGAAGAGUACAUAUGCUGCUUACAUAAGGAGUGCAGCUCUGGGACACAGCUCAAUGAGUAGUGAGAAACCCACGCCAUAUGGAGUGGUGUAGCCCCACAGAGAGCCUGGGCAUCCCUAGAAGUAGUAGUACAGACAAUGGUAGAGAAAGGGAUUUUUUGUUUACCUUUGCAGUAACAGGGCUCAAAGUGCUCAGAAAGCCCCAUCAUCUUGUUGCCACAUCAUCUUGGGUUAACUGCAUCUUUCUGCUGCAGCUUGUAGAUGUGCCUUUUGGAAAGACGUGAGCAUUUAGUUCUCCUGGUGGUAUUCAGAGGUCUCUGGCCCCUCUGUGUUCAUAGCACAUUGUAACUCUGUGAGAUUCUCUGCAGAGCCAGAAAGCAUAAUACUUUCCCACCUACAGGUUCCUUUUGGGUAUACCUUGGGAAUAAAGUCUCAGUAAAGCAACAAGAUCAAGAAAAUGAAAAAAAAAAAAUUAAGGUUUGCUGUAGUUUUCUCUAAAUAAUAAAAAAAAAAAAGUCCAGCAUAGAGCUUUGGCUGCUAGGAUAUUUCUAGGAUAACAUAGAAAUAUUAUCUCAACAUAAUGAAAGUGCUGAAUAAAUAUUUAUUUUAAAAUUUCAUGCUGUUCAGAGUUAAAUGUUUCCAUUUACUUUUCAAUGAGAAUGGUUUUUGAAAUUUCACCUAUUGUGUAAGUUGUUUGCAUUAGAUUUUGGGGGCUCUGAUGGAGCAGAAAAUGUAAAAGCAAAAGCUGUGAAACCUUUUUGAUAAUUUGAUGAUGUUUUCUUUGUGAAUUCCAGCAGAUUAGGUAUCCCGCAUUAUAAGAAAGACUUUAAUGAUCAAAUUCAACAGUUUUUUUAAAACUACUCUUUUAAAGGCCAGCCUUUGAAUUCUGCAUUCAGGUCAGAGCUUAAAGUCUGACCCUUAGGCUUAACACACAUAGAAAAGAAGUAUAUUCUUUGUAACUAAGAGGCAGACUUCCAGUGUCAGAUUCUUUUUAGUCCAGUAUCACUCAAACAGCCAGACUGAAUUAUUUGACAACUGUAAGGGAGUUGAACGUGAGGAAAACACUUUCUACUGAGCCUGACAAGUGGAGAGCCAAAGUCAGUGCCAUUCUACAGUCUAGAUUGCAUUGAGGAAUUGGUUAGAGACAUUUUGUGGUGUUAAUUGUUUUAUAGCUACUCUGGUGUGAAAGUCUGCUUUAUUUCCAAAGCUGAAACCAUAAGAAUGCAAUUUUUGCUUUUAAAUUGACAGAUUUAUAUCAAUAAGGAGGUAUUCAAGUCCCAGUACAGGAUGUGGUCUGACUUCUCUCUCAGCAGCCAUGCUUGCUGGGUCCCCUGCUUUGAGUUAUGCCCAAGUGAACAAGCCACAGAUACACUAUUUGCUGUAUUAAAUUCAAGUAGUGCUCAAAAAAACAUAAUCAUCCUUUUUGCCCAAUCAAAGUUGUCUCCCUCCACUAUUAUAAAAGAUAGAGGAGAAUUGAGACACAUUUGCCUCCUGCACACCUCUUUGCCUUUUGAUUUAGUGUGUAUUUCAGACUGAUUCCAAUGGGUCUUUGCCAGGGCAUCCUUGGAGAUGAUGCUGAGACUGGAUGGCCCAUCUCCUGAUGCUUCUUCCCCUCUCUCCUCUGGUGUGGUCAUGCAACAAGUAGGGAACAGAUACUGCUGAAAGCUAACUGCUUGGGAGGAAGGGAAGGGACCUGCUGGGAGGUGGUCCCAGGCUGGAGAAGGGGAGGGCAGAUCUUGAGCUUUCAGUACUGGCCCCCACAGAUUUAAUAAAAGCAGCUGAAGUUGAAGAAGAACAUUGCUCAAGUAACCAAGGUGACCAAUGGACCUCAGCAAAGUUAUUGGCUUUGCUAAUUGUAUUUAUUGCAAGGUUUGGCAGAUUUCGUUGGAAGGUUUGUCGGUAUUAUUUUUGACUGUUGAAAGUAUUUCUUUGUAAAUAAAUGUCAGCUGAGCUGGAUUCCUUACAUCUUUUUUGAGUUCUGCUUUUUCUAGUGGUUGUAUGGGAACCAUGGAACCACUGUAUUAAUGUGACUAAUACUCUGUGUAGACACAAAAACACCAGCCCAUAACACAAAAAUACAGCAACCCUCACAACAAAGAAGCAAAUAACACCCCCUGCCUGCUAACAGGUAUCAAAAAGAGUUUAGCAGAAGAUAUUGUGGGUAUUAGGAAAUAAUUAGAAUAUCAUGAAUGAUCUAAGGAACUACCAUUUAAAAAAGCAUUGGUUUCAGAAAAACUUGUUCAGUUUAGUAUAUAACAGUAAAACGUUAUCUGUUGUUUUGUAGUUACUGAGCCUUUUUGCUGUACUUAAACAGUAUAGCAAUGAAUACCCCUGAAUUUUCAUUAAAAGUAGCAUCAUGUUAUCAUUUGAAUUAGUUAACCAAGGCUUAUGUAAAAUAAAAAGAUACUUGUGCUGAAACAAUAGAAGUAUGCAACUCUACUGUAUGAAAUAGGAGAAUGCCCAUACUGCAUACUAUAAUUAAAUGCCUUUGAUUCUUCCUGGGUUUCCAGCUAAUCAUUUUGUAGAUCUCAGACUCUGCCACAAGUGAUUCAGAGGUUUUCUCAACAAAGUACGAAGUUUUCUACUUGGUAAUGUUGUACUUUGAUUUCUCAGUAUUGUAUGUCUGUGUUGGUAGCUGCAUGUGCAGAUGUACUGUGUUAGGACUUGGAAGUUGAAUAGGGUUAAAUUCUUAGAGGUGAUUUAUGGUUUUUCUUAAGGGUACUUUAGUAACUUUUCAAGUUUAACUUGAGAAACAUGGAAAAAUUAUUUGAGGACUAAAUGAUUAUAAGAGCUUGAAUGCUGACCAAGAUAAUACAAAAAUAAAGGGGGCUUUGCCUUCUGAAAAGUUAAAUUUAUUUGUGCCAAAGUGCAAGACCUCUGAAUGCACAGAAACUUUAACGUUCUGAUUGACAUGGCUGAAUUAACAGUAAUGUUGGAUUUGUGAAACCAAAUAAAAUAUUUUUGUUGUGACCAUUUAUUGAAAAUUAAUUUUUUGGGGCUGAAUGGCAAUCUGUUGGUUGGGUUCUCAAUGAAGGAAGAAAAUCAUUUUAUGGGCGCCUUUCAGUGUAUUGUGUAAAAAUAUCAAGUUUUUAAGAUUUUGCCUUAUAGGACUAAAUUUCAAACUACUUUUUUUUCUUACUGUUCUUGAAGACAGCAAUUAACAUUGCUUACUAUCACAGCUUGUGAAAUGCAAAGUGAACUGUCGUAUUUUUAGAUGCAGAAGUUUUGGUUGAAUUUAUUUCCUGUUUGCUGUAAUGAAGGACUAGUUAGCCGUGCUAACUAACAUUCUCUGCAGGUCACAUCACAGCUUGCUGUAUUUCUGUAAUUCUGGCUACCAAGCUCAAAAUACAGAGGUAGAGCAGGCGAAAGUCCUAUUGAUUCAAGCUUGAUUUUAUCCAUCUUUCAAGGAAGUAUUUACUACUUAUUGCCUGCACAGUAAAGGAGGAUGAACCUUGUUAGUUGCUGACCAUGAAGAGUUAAUUGCCAGAGUUUUGGAAGAUUAUAGGCUAAUUCUUAAAAAAUUCUUUUUCUUAAUAAUUUAAUACUCAUGAAGUUGAGUAACUGAGUACUAAGUAGUGGAUCUGUUUUUAGUGAUGAAACCUGUGACUAUUUUACUUUUUAAUUUUUAGGAAUCCUAGAAUCUAUUUGCUGAUUUUGCACAGUAUGAAAAUUUGAUGGUGUGUUCAGGAGUUGUACUUAAUACUAAAGAGUCAUUGCAGUACCUUUUUCUUAUUGUGAAGAUGAGCUGGCGAUAUCUGUGUCAAACUCUGCUUUCUGAACAAGUAAAAGGAGUCUUUAAUAGGUCUGUCAGCACUCAGCCCCACUGAGACAAAACACAGCCUUACAAAUCCAUGAGUGCUGACUCAACAAAUUUGUUAUAUCUCAAGAAACUCUGUUGGACUUUUCCAAGCACAUUUGAAAGAAAUUAAUAGUUUUUCCAGUUCUAGUUUUUACAGAUGUGAUGGAAAGCCAGUCUUUACUAUGUAGAAAUAAUCACUUUGAGAAGUACCUUCUUGCACAUGCAGUAAUUUAAAUAAAUAGGGCUGGUUAGUAUGAAAAGUAAAAACUGACAGUAGAAA